rnacentral:lncRNA from 1 species
CUCACCAUCUGCAGCCUCUCAGAGGAGAAACUGGUUGUCUUUAGCCUCUCAGAAAAGGAAUUCACAGUCUCUAGCAUCUCAGGGGACAAACUUAUCAUCCUGAGCCUCUCAGAGAAGAAACUUACUGUUUCCAGCCUCCUAGACAGAAACUUGCUGUCUCCAGCCUCUCAGAGGAGAAACGGUCACCAGCCUCUUAGAAGAAGAAAACCUUGCUGUCUCCAGCCUCUUGGAAAAAAACGGCCAUCUCCAGCCUCUGAGAAGAGGACCUCAUUGUCUUCAGCCUCUCAGAAAAAGAACUCACCAACUCCAUCCUCUGAGAGGAAGAACUCACCAUAUCCAGCCAAUCACAGAGACUCACACUCCCCAGCCUCUCAGAGGAGAGACUCACUGUCUUCGCCUCUCAGAGAAAAAACUCACUGUCUCCAGCCUCUCAGAAAAAAAAAAAAGACUUGCCAUCUCCAGCCUCUCAGGAGAAACUCAUUGUCUCCAGCCUUUCAGAGGAGAGAGUCACCAUGUCCAGUUUCUCAGAGGAGGAGCUCACUGUCUUCAGCCUCUCAAAGUAGGGCUUUGCCAUCUCCUGCUACUCAGAGAAGAAGCUCCCCACCUCCAGCCUCUCAGUGGAGACAGUGGGGUUACAAUGGCAUAGCAUUGCCCCAACCCCCAAAAGAAAUAGUAUCGAAGUCCAAUGUAAACCUAUUAAUUACGUGGCUGUGCUACAAUCAAAACAUAGAUCUCUGACGUCAGCCUUAUUGUUCUUCAUUGUGUUGAUCAAGAAGUGCCCUAGCCCUCAAGUCCUCCUCACUCGAAGCCUAUGGACUCCUAAUUUGCACACAAGUCUAACAAGCCACAUCAUCUUGUUUUUCAGUUCACAGCACUGUGAAACAGGAGACAUUAGAGGCAAGCAUUGAUAGCAGUAAAAAGGGCAACCAUUAGGAAAGAGUCAGAAUAUUAACAAACAACUGUCAGAAAUGGAAGUCAAAUAGUCCAGGACUAAUCUAAGGGCAGAUAUUACCAUAUACAAUAAGCCAUUGGGAUGUCUCUAGAUUUCAGCAUAGUUCAUUAGUUUAUGCCCAAAACAGUGACUUAAAUCUUCCUCCCAAAAAGAUGAACUUGUGAUUAUUGUUCAAUAUAAAAUGUAAUACAUUAAAAAAUAUAAGACUUUUUUUUGAGACAGAGUCUCACUCUGUCACCAAGGCUGGAGUGCAAUGGUGAGAUCUCGGCUUACUGCAACUUC